rnacentral:lncRNA from 1 species
UUGGGGUGGUCCAGUCAAAUGUGGACGUCUUCUGCAAUCCUCGGAAAAUAUUCAAGAAUAAAAAACUGCAAAAAAAAGAAAAGAAUGGAAGACAUAUUAUUACAUGUAUAAAGAAUAAAACUAAAGAAAAUAAUAGAAUUAAAGAAGAGAAAACUUACAUGAAGAAAAACUGAACAACAUGAAAUUGUUUUGGGAUUUGCUCCCCCGUCUAUUUUUUUCUUUGCUUCCCCUAAGGCGCAAUGCAGCACGCCCAACAUGGCUGACCGCCCAACAUGACUGAUCCCCAAGAAUAAUCCUUGAUUUCAUCAUUAUUCCUUAACAAUUCAAGGUACAUAGAAGGCACAGCAUUUUGUAUAGGGGAGGGGUAAAGUAAGCAUCCUAUAACGUACAGCGCAUACGCUCGUACGUAUCUAUCUAAAUUAACCCCACCAGUGCCCGGGGAACAACCAUUAGGGAUUGUCUAAGCAAAUCUAAAUCUACAAAACUAGCACCUCUAUUAGCUAGAAUUAAAUCCUGGGUGCCAAGGAGUUCUUCGAGGAAAGGUAUGCUGUCCUCCCUUUUCCAAUCCAU